GACGAACGCUGGCGGCGUGCCUAAUACAUGCAAGUUGAGCGCUGAAGGCUGGUUCUUGUACUGCCUGGGUGAGCAGCGAACGGGUGAGUAACGCGUGGGGAAUCUGCCUUUUAGCGGGGGACAACAUUUGGAAACGAAUGCUAAUACCGCAUAAAAACUUUAAACACAAGGUUUAAGUUUGAAAGAUGCAAUUGCAUCACUCAAAGAUGAUCCCGCGUUGUAUUAGCUGGUUGGUGAGGUAAAGGCUCACCAAGGCGAUGAUACACAGCCGACCUGAGAGGGUGAUAGGCCACAUUGGGACGGGGACACGGACCAAACGCCUGAGAGAGGCAGCAGAAGGGAAUCGGCGGCAAUAGACGAGAGUCUGACAGAGCAACGCCGAGUGAGUGAAGACGGUUUUCGGAGCGUAAAAAUCUGUUGGUAGAGAAGAACGUUGGUGGGAGUGGAAAGCGCAUCAAGUGACGGUAACUAGCAAGAAAGGGACGGCUAACUACGUG
rnacentral:rRNA from 1 species